ACAGCAGUCGCCGCGGUAAUACGGAGGGAGCUAGCGUUGUUCGGAAUUACUGGGCGUAAAGCGCGCGUAGGCGGUUACUCAAGUCAGAGGUGAAAGCCCGGGGCUCAACCCCGGAACUGCCUUUGAAACUAGGUGACUAGAAUCUUGGAGAGGUCAGUGGAAUUCCGAGUGUAGAGGUGAAAUUCGUAGAUAUUCGGAAGAACACCAGUGGCGAAGGCGACUGACUGGACAAGUAUUGACGCUGAGGUGCGAAAGCGUGGGGAGCAAACAGGAUUAGAUACCCGUGUAGUCCCUGUCUCUUAUAC
rnacentral:rRNA from 1 species